UAACAUUGAUGUUAUGUUACUGUUACUUUGUGUUUACUGGGAAUAGUCUGCAUGGUGUAUAGGAUUUAAAAUUAUUUGGUGCAUUUUAUACUUAGGCUCUAUAUUUAUAGCUUCUUGUAUGCUUUGUAUGUUCACUGCCGAUAUAAAUCGCGAUCCGGCAUUUAGAAAAUAUAGACAUUUAAUGAGCUGUGAUUCCAAUAGAAUAUAUUUCCAUAUCUACGGAAAUGCAUUAAAAUGUGCUUGAAACGCUACAAUCACAUUUGGAAGCCGAAACGACAGACUGGACACAAACUCGUUGUAUCUAAUAAUCCGGCUUUCUUUAUUCCAUCAUACAGCGUUAACGAACAUGAUAUGUAAUCGAAAUAUAGGUUGAUAUUCAACAGAAAUCCAGCGUCGAAUAUUCUUAUGAUAAUAAUUAUGUACAUAUCCCAUAAUAAAAUUUUCCAUAUUUUCAACGAGUCUCUUGUCAUCAGGAAAUUCAGUAUAUAGUUCCAGAAAUAUGGAAUAGCACGUUUGACAGGAAUGCAAAAAAUCUUAUUAAUAGCAUAAAUAAUAUGAUUUUGCAAAAAUGAUCAUCUGGAUUUCGUGCAACGCUAGUUUAAAUGAGAACUGCUCAGUUAUUUCACGCAAAAAUGCAUAUCUUGAUCGAAUCCACUAAGGCUUGGAAAAACGAACAGAGCGCCAUUUCGUGCCGUUCUUAUUUAUUGCGUAUUUUUUUAUGGAACUGCAGAAUUUCUUAUGAUAACGGCAAAACUUCUCGUGUUGGGACAGAUCUAUUAUUAGAUGUACAUCGGAGCAGUAUGAGAUCAUGUAACAGUUACUACAUAAUAACAAAGCACUAUUAUUCGUCUUUUUGCAAACGUGACAAACGUUUGGAUGGAAGAAAUCAAUACGAUUAUAAUCAAUACGAUCGAGAGAUCACGAAUAAUACAACAGGUCUUUCAAAAAAUUCGUGAAAAAGGCCAUAAGGAUAUAUUUCCCUGAGGAUAAAGAAUACUUUAUUGUAAAUUUAAUUUAGAAAUUAUGCGUACGUAAAAUAUGGUAGCUUAGCAAAGAAAUUUAAUAAUUAGUGGUCUUCGUACAGUUCUUGGAUAUAAUUAAUAAUUGUUGCGAGGACACUGUGAAGCUAUAUACAAGCUAUUUUCAAUGUAUAUAUUCGUGUUACAGGACACUGAGAAGAUAUUUACAAUUUUUAUUUUCCUAAGUGCCACGUGUGUAUUAUUAACAAACUGAAUUAUAUUCGAAAAUAUAACAUACGAAUAUCCAUUACCAAAUAAUGUGUCAUGCAUAACAUAUACGAAAUUUAUUAUCAACUUAUUAAAUUUA